rnacentral:lncRNA from 1 species
ACCUUCUUGUUGAAAAGCACUGCAUCAGGUUUUUGUCUUCUUGCUUUGUCCAGUCCUCUUUGGAGUGGUAUACUCACUAUACUUAUUAUAUAAUAAACAAUGAAUUUUGUCCAAGUCUGCCUUAAAAGUAAAGGAACUAAUGAUAUAAAGGAGAAAAUUGAAAGACAAUGUCAAACUAUUGGGUGACUUAUGUGAAAAGACCAUGAAUAAUCAUUUACAAGAUUGUGCAGUAUCCACUUCAGAAGCAACUUAAUGAAGAGCUGAUGUUUGAAUGUAUUAAUCAUUAGUUCACUUUUUACUGUUCUAGAUGAUGGCAAUGUGGAUUCUCAUGGUCAUUUGAAACCCAUGGGGGAAAAUGGCUCUUCCUGUAUUCAGGCCCUUUGUAGUGUGACUUUGUGGCAACUCCCAUCAAUAGGUAGAUUAUUGUUUACCCCUCAAAUCUGGGUUGGCCACUAUGACUUUCUUUGUCUGACAGCAUGUAGGAGAAGUAUUGUUGUGGCAUUUCCGAACCUAGACCUCAAAAAGGCCUUGCCCUUGUCUUUCUUCUCUUAGACCCUGUCCAUCAGCCAGGUGAGCAAGCCUGGGCUAGUUAGCUGAAGGAUAAGAGACCAUGUGGAGGAAGCCAGAGGAGCCAUCCAUCUGGGGCCACCCAAGGUCAGCCAGCACCUCUAAUCACAGAGCCACGAGGGAGUUAGCCCAGAUUUAGAAGGUGAGGAUAUUGACUUCAUCUCUUGAUGCAAGGAGUUGCAGUUACAUUGCAAAGGGAUGCAGAUACAGGGAAGGUUGGAGAAUUGCAGCCACUUUUGCACAAUCUACCACAACUACUGCAUUGUAGCUGCUAUGCACAUUAAAUAAGUAAAGACAUAUGAAACAUUUAUAUCAGGUCCUGACAACAAAUAAGUGUUCAACAAGUGUGAGCUAUUAUUACUGUUUCUAAAAUGGAUCCCUUAUCAUGGAGAAGGUCAAAUUAAUGCUGCCGUGCCUCUUACUCUUAGAAACUGACACUGAAAGUUCCCACAUAACUGAGGUUCAAUCUAUGAGCACAUCCAGAAACUCAAGUGAGGGAAAAUGCAAUCAAACCACAUAUGAAAAAUCAAUAGAUCCCUAAAUAAUCUUUCCCUCCUGAAUGGAAGCAACACAUUUGAAAACUCUUCUCCCUCCACCCCUACCAAAAAAAAAAAAAAAAAAAAAAAAAGCAGUGCAUGUUGCCUCUUCUAUUCAGGCUGUGACCAAAGGUUUCAAUGGUAAAGAUGACUCAUACCUUAAAGAACUAGAAGAAUUUUUUUUAUGGCUUCUCUAUCCAUUGUCUUGCUCUCAUAAAACUGCUGAAUGACACCCAAGUGUAAAACCCACCAAAGAAAUAAGCGCUGGAUGACAUGUGGCAGAUUUUCCAACUCUCCAGGAAAAACUUCAGAUCAACUUGUUUCUCUGGAAACUACUCACAUCCGGGGGCUGUCCCUGUCCCCUGGGACUCAUAAACGUUCCUAUCUUCAAGGCACAGCAGAUACUGGUUGCAUUUUGCCUCUGCCCUAGAGAUUUGUGGAACUUCGAACUUGAGAGAGAUGAUUUACAGUACCUGGUGGAAGAAAUUUCAAAGCAGCAAAGCUUUCAAGAGGUGACUUGGGUGCUGUUAAAGUCAUUCAGUUUUAAAGGAAAACAGAGCAUAAAAGUUUGGAAAAUUUGCAGCCUGACAAUGAGAUAGAAGAGAAAAUUCCAUUUUCUGAGGAGAAAUUCAAGCCAGCUGCAGAAAUUUGCAAAAGUAAUGAGGAGCUGAAUGUUAAUCACCAAGACAAUAGGGAAAAUGUCUCCAGCGUGUGUCAGAGACCUUUGUGACAACCCCUCCCUUCACAGGCCAGGAGGUUUAGGAGGAAUAAACGUCUUAAAUAUUGGGUCAGGCCCAUGGUCCCUCCACUGUGUGCAGACUAGAGACUUGGUGCCCUGAAUCCUAGCCACUCUAGUCAUGAAUAAAAGGGGCCAAAGUACAGCUUGGGCUAUUGCUUCAGAGGGUGCAAGCCCCAAGUCUUGGUAGGUUCCACAUGGUGUUGAGCCUUCGGGUGCACAAAAGUCAAGAACUGAGGUUUGGUUACCUCUGCCUAGAUUUUGGAUGAUGCAUGGAAACGCCUGGAUGCCCAGGCAGAAGUUUGCUGCAGGGGCAGAGCCCUCAUGGGGAACUUCUGGUAAGGCAAUGAGGAAGGGAAAUGUGGGAUCAGAGCCACCACACAGAGUCCCUAAUGGGCACCACCUAGUGGAGCUGUGAGAAGAGGGCUACCGUCCUCCAAACCCAGACCCCAGAAUGGUAGAUCCAUCGGCAGCUUGCACCGUGCACCUGGAACAGCCAUCAACACUCAAUGCCAGCCUGUGAAAGCAGCUGGGAGGGAGGCUGUACCCUGCAAUGCCACAGGGGCAGAACUGCACAAGACCAUGGGAACCCAUCUCUUGCAUUAGCGUGACCUAGAUGUGAGACAUGGAAUCAAAGGAGAUCAUUUGGAGCUCCAAGAUUUGACUGCUGGAUUUUGGACUUGCAUGGGGCCUGUGGCCCUCUGUUUUGGCCAAUUUCUCCCAUUUGGAAUGGCUGUAUUUACCCAAUGCCUGUACCCCCAUUGUAUCUAGGAAGUAACUAACUUGCUUUCGAUUUUACAGGCUCAUAGGUGGAAGGGAAUUACCUUAUCUCAGAUGAGACUUUGGACUGUGGACUUUUGAGUUAAUGCUGUAAUGAGUUAAGACUUUGGGGGACUAUUGGGAAAGCAUGAUUGGUUUUGAAAUGUGAAAACAUGAGAUUUGGGAGGAGCCAGAGGCAGAAUGAUAUGACUUGGCUCUGUGUCCCCACCCAAAUCUCAUCUUGUAGCUCCCCUGCUUCCCAUGUGUUGUGGGAGGGACCCAGUGGGAGAUGAUUGAAUCAUUGGGGCUGGUCUUUUUCUGUGCUGUUCUUGUGGUGGUGAAUGCAUCUCAUGAGAUUUGAUGGUUUUGAAAAUGGGAGUUCUCUUCACAAGCUCUUUUUUUGCCUGCUGCCAUCCAUGUAAGACGUGACUUGUUCCUCCUUGCCUUCCACCGUGAUUGUGAGACCUCCCCAGCCACGUGGAACUGUGAGUCCAAUUAAACCUUUUUACUUUGUAAAUUGUCCAGUCUCGAGUAUGUCUUUAUCAGCAGUGUGAAAAUGAACUACCAUAAUAUGCAAACACACAAUUCAUGUUAUGCUCAGAUUCUUCCAUAGUCUAUCAAUAUCACUGACACAAAUUUAUGUUUCCAAAACAAGACUUAGAGCAGGACUGGCUGUGUAUCUAUUAGUGGCUAUUCAUGGGCAGGGCAAGUCAUGAACCACUGUACUUGUUCCAAGUCACCUAGCUGGUCAUUGGCAAAGCCAGGGCUGCAACCUAGCUCUCUAGAUGAAGAGCUGAACUAUCUUACCAGGCCACUAUGCUAUCAUAUCUGUUUGUGAAUACAAGGGAUAAAGUGCAGAACAUGGAAGUGCUUUGAAAGGUAUAAAGUGAUCAAUGUUAUAUGCAACUAGAAAGGCUAUGAGUCUUUUAUUUUGUUCUCUAUGACAAGAGAACAAUAUUUCCACUCUGUUUCUUGUUAUAAAUAACUUUGCCUAAUCCUCUAGAAAAGCAAGUAAGCAGAAACAAGUUAACUAAACCUUAGGUCAAGAGGGAAAUGGGAAGAACUAGCAAAAGGAGAUAAUAACUCUCAGGGAUGGAAGCACCUAGCCAAUUGGAAGGGUGUGAAAAAGCGUGGAAAUAGAAAAUGGGACUGACAAAAUGUACCUUUUCUCUUACAAAUUAACUUGUGUCUUUGUGACGACAGCAUGUUUGGGUCAAGAGUUCUUGACUUUUGAAAUAUAUCAAAAUUCUUAAGGAGAAAGUUUUAUAAAAAUAGAGGUGUUUUUUUUGUGUGUGUGUAUAUGUGUGUGUGUAUAUAUGUGUGUGUGUGUAUACAUAUAUAUAUAUAUAUAUUUUUUUUUUUUUUUUUUUGAGACAGAGUUUUGCUCUUGUUGCCCAGGCUGGAGUGCAAUGGCGCGAUCUUGGCUCAUUGCAAUCUCCACCUCCCGGGUUCAAGCAAUUCUCCUGCCUCAGCCCCCCAAAUAGCUGGGAUUACAGGCAUAAGCCACCAGUCCUGGCUAAUUUUGUAUUUUUAGUAGAGAUGGGGUUUCUCCAUGUUGGUCAAGCUGGUCUCUAAAUCCCGACCUCAGGUGAUCCGCCCACCUCGGCCUCCUGAAUUGCUGGUGUUAAAGGUGUCAGCCACUGAGCCCAGCACAUAAAUACAUAUAUUUAUUAAGAGAAGGUGGUUCAUGUGAUUAUGGAGGCUGAGAAGUCUCACAAUUUGUUGUCUGUAAGUUAGAAACCCAGGAAAUCUGGUGAUGAAUACAGAUUGGAUCAGAGAACCGGGGAGCAGAUGGUGUGAAUCCCACCUGGAAAGCCAGAGAAGAUGAGAUGAAAUGAGACAUCACAGCUCAGCAGUGAGGAAAGACAAACUGGGUGAAUUCCUCCUUUCUCCACCUUUGGUUGGUUUCAGGCCCUCAAAAGACUGGAUGAUUCCCAAACACACUGGAGAGGACAAUCCACUUUACUGAGUCCGCUGCUUCAAAUGCUAAUCUCGUCUAGAAAUACCCUCACAGACACACUUAGAAAUAAUGUUUCAUCCAGACACCCCUUGGCCAGUCAAGUUGCCACAUAGAAUUAACCAUCAUACUCAGUACUACUCAUUUAGAAUUUCUGAUAAUAGGGCACAAGUAUGUGUAUUUGUUAGGGCCAAGUGGCUUUGUUGAGCCUUUUGAGAAAAUAACUAUGAGAAGGGGAGAUUUUGUAACCUGAAGACCAUCACUUAGCCCUAAGGAAGACUACCUCAUUUAUUGGCCUAAAAUCAGAAUUGAUGAAUGGUCUGUUGAUCAUGAUUGCAAAUAUGUCUCUAGUGGUCAGAGUAUAUACCAAUGACUUUUUUUAAAAAUGCAGUUCCUUGUUAAAUGUUAAAUGCAGCUCCUUCCAUAACUCCCUUCCUAUCCAUGGAAAAGGAAGCUAUGGCAGGAACUGCAUUUAACAUUUAACAAGAAUAUAUUUCUGUAUAUAUCCAGAAGUAUAUCCAUAUACUACACUACAGAUAUGUUUCUCUUUUCCCCACAGUCAACCAUUUUAGUAGGCUCAGUUGGGGUACUUUUAUUUGAAUGUGUUACUGAGUUUGUACAUUUUAAAUUUUUAUAGAUGAUAUUGUUAUACUGCUUAUUCUUCUUCCAGUGUUUUCCACUAGGUCCUGUAUUAUUAAAAUCCAGUCAGAUUGCUUUAUAGUCAGUUAAUCCAUUGCUUCUACUAAUGAUUUCAAUGGUGUGUCUAUAUGGUAAAUUUCAGUAGUUGAUCCAGAUCUGUAUCUCUUCCUGUAUUUAUGCCCUUUGCUAAGUAAAUUUUCAGGUCCCUCCCACGUGGACAGAGUGACCUGCCCCAUCCCUUGAAACUGGUCUUGGCCAUGUGAUUUGCUUUGUGAUAAAUGCUGACUUGAUAUAAGCAGAAGCUUAAAAAAGCAUUUGUGUGUUUCCACUAGUUCUUGUACCUCUGUCAUUGUAAUGAAAAGACAUACUCAGCUUAACCUACUGGUCCCAGGAAGAGGAUGAGCAAUAACGUGGAACAGAGCCAACCUAGACGUGUAUAAGUAAGCCAGCUGAACUGUGAAUGUAUGAGCAAGUCAGGCCCAGAUCAAUGGAAUCCCACAGAUGCAUGAGAAAUAAAUGCAUGCUAUUGAGAUUUUGUGGUUGUAUGCAACAUUAUUGUGGCAAUAACUAACCAAUAGACUGUACUAUGAGAAUUUGUAUUCUCUUGCUGAUUUUGAAUUCAGGAUGUCAAUUAUGGGAAGGCUAAUCAUUUGACUCAAGAAUAAAACAACUU